GGCAAGUGAUCCAAACAUUAAUGAGUUCGUUUAACUAAAUCCUGAAGAACUUAUCUUUCAUCUCAAAGUCACACAACUGGAGCCAAACACUACAGAGUACAAGUAUGAGAUUAUAUUUGUCCUCAAUGCAUUGUCUAUUAUUGCUGAUGAAACAUAACAAUCAAGUGAGAAAAAGAAAGGUUUCCUAUGCCCUACUGAAGUAAACAACAUUUCUGAUAAUCAAGAAGUGUUACCACCAUCUACAAAACGUUCAUUGUUUCAAACUUCAAGUGAGCCAGCACUUCUAAACAUAAAAGCUCAGACAAAAAAUGCUACCUCCAACUCAGAAAAUGAUUGCGUUCCAGCGAAAGGAAAACUUGAGUAAUCAUCAUCAUACGUAUUUGAAGGCAACAUCAAUGCUACAACUUCAAAGUUCCAUUUACAACUUUUGACAGCAUAUAAAUAAUUCUAGCACAACAACCUUCAAAAAACUUUAUUUAAUUUUUGUGGCACUCGUUACAGAAACUUCAUGCUGCUUUUGACAUGUCGCUUUGUUUCAUUUUGUAGCACUGCUUUUGCCUACAACUCUUCCAUGAAGUUUAAGCUUAGCAAGAGUGUAUAACGAGCUUCAUGAUGGUUUAGCUUGUAGCUUAACUAUUAUGGGAUAUCAAUGCUUUUGAAAUGUGUG
rnacentral:lncRNA from 1 species